AGGAGAUAGAUAAGUUGAGAGAUAGAUAGAUGGAAAGAUAGAGAGAGAAUUAAAAAAAAGGAGAUAGAUAAGUGGAGAGAGAGAGAGAGAGAGAGAGAGAGAGAGAGAGAGAGAGAGAGAGAGAGAGAGAGAGAGAGAUUAAUAGCAGUUCCUUACAUUUAAAGAGUAAAGGAAGAUGCUUGGGGUGACUAACAACCAAGAAGGAUGAAAAGACGGAAUUAGACUUAACGAUGAGAACGGAGAAAUAAGCUGAAUCACGUCUUGUUAUGGAGAGGAAGGAAGGAGGAGGAGGAGGAGGAGGAGGAUAAACAGUAUAAGUGAUAAGUGGUUAAUAGAGAAUAAGAGACAGAGACGAGUAGUUGCAGGUAGAUGGACAGGUGAAGAGAAGAAUAAUAAGCAUGGCGUGGAGUGGUUGAGAGGGACAGUCACGUAAUGAGGUCACUGUGAGAGCAAGGAGGAGGAGGAGGAGGAGGGGGCGGGGAGAAGGGAGGAGAAGUAGAGUGAAGUAGUAAAGGAGGAGGAGAGUGACGAGGCAGAAGUACGAAAAUGAGCAGGAAGGAAAGAGGAUAGAGGUAGAUGUACAAGGAUGAGCAGGAAGGAGAAGGAGAGUGACGAGGUAGAAGUACAAGGAUGAGCAGGAAGGAGAAGGAGAGUGACGAAGCAGAAGUACAAGGAUGAGCAGGAAGGAGAAGGAGAGUGAAGAAGCAGAAGUACAAGUAUGAGCAGGAAGGAGAAGGAGAGUGAAGAAGCAGAAGUACAAGUAUGAGCAGGAAGGAGAAGGAGAGUGAAGAAGCAGAAGUACAAGGAUGAGCAGGAAGGAGAAGGAGAGUGACGAGGCAGAAGUACAAGGAUGAGCAGGAAGGAGAAGGAGAGUGACGAGGCAGAAGUACAAGGAUGAGCAGGAAGGAGAAGGAGAGUGACGAGGCAGAAGUACAAGGAUGAGCAGGAAGGAGAAGGAGAGUGACGAGGUAGAAGUACAAGGAUGAGCAGGAAGGAGAAGGAGAGUGACGAGGUAGAAGUACAAGGAUGAGCAGGAAGGAGAAGGAGAGUGACGAGGUAGAAGUACAAGGAUGAGCAGGAAGGAGAAGGAGAGUGACGAGGCAGAAGUACAAGGAUGAGCAGGAAGGAGAAGGAGAGUGACGAGGUAGAAGUACAAGGAUGAGCAGGAAGGAGAAGGAGAGUGACGAGGUAGAAGUACAAGGAUGAGCAGGAAGGAGAAGGAGAGUGACGAGGCAGAAGUACAAGGAUGAGCAGGAAGGAGAAGGAGAGUGACGAGGCAGAAGUACAAGGAUGAGCAGGAAGGAGAAGGAGAGUGACGAGGUAGAAGUACAAGGAUGAGCAGGAAGGAGAAGGAGAGUGACGAGGUAGAAGUACAAGGAUGAGCAGGAAGGAAAGAGGAGAGUGAAGAAGCAGAAGUACAAGGAUGAGCAGGAAGGAAAGAGGAGAGUGAAGAAGCAGAAGUACAAGGAUGAGCAGGAAGAAAGGAUAGGACGAUCAAAAAAUUAUUAGGUGAAAGGAUUAAAAGGAGAAUGAGAAGUAAAAGAGUUCAAUGACGUGAUGAAUGAUAAAAAAAAGAGAGAAUAGGAGUGAACUAGGAUAAAGAGGAAGAGAAAACCGGAGAAUAUGUAGCGUAAAAAAUGAUAAAAAUGAUAAAAAAUGAUAAAAAAAGAGAAUAGGAGUGAACUAGGAUAAAGAGGAAGAGAAAACCGUAGAAUAUGUUGCGCAAAAAAUGAUAAAAAAAAAGAGAGAAUAGGAGUGAACUAGGAUAAAGAGGAAGAGAAAACCGGAGAAUAUGCAGCGCAAAAAAUGAUAAAAAUGAUAAAAAAAAAAGAGAAUAGGAGCGAACUAGGAUAAAGAGGAAGAGAAAACCGGAGAAUAUGCAGCGCAAAAAAUGAUAAAAAUGAUAAAAAAAAAAGAGAAUAG